rnacentral:lncRNA from 1 species
CUGCGACCUGCUGCGGGAGCAGUACGAGGAGGAGACGGAGGCCAAGGCCGAGCUGCAGCGCGUCCUUUCCAAGGCCAACUCGGAGGUGGCCCAGUGGAGGACCAAGUAUGAGACGGACGCCAUUCAGCGGACUGAGGAGCUCGAGGAGGCCAAGAAGAAGCUGGCCCAGCGGCUGCAGGAAGCUGAGGAGGCCGUGGAGGCUGUUAAUGCCAAGUGCUCCUCGCUGGAGAAGACCAAGCACCGGCUACAGAAUGAGAUCGAGGACUUGAUGGUGGACGUAGAGCGCUCCAAUGCUGCUGCUGCAGCCCUGGACAAGAAGCAGAGGAACUUCGACAAGAUCCUGGCCGAGUGGAAGCAGAAGUAUGAGGAGUCGCAGUCGGAGCUGGAGUCCUCGCAGAAGGAGGCUCGCUCCCUCAGCACAGAGCUCUUCAAACUCAAGAACGCCUAUGAGGAGUCCCUGGAACAUCUGGAGACCUUCAAGCGGGAGAACAAAAACCUGCAGGGAGAUCUCCGACUUGACUGAGCAGUUGGGUUCCAGCGGAAAGACUAUCCAUGAGCUGGAGAAGGUCCGAAAGCAGCUGGAGGCCGAGAAGAUGGAGCUGCAGUCAGCCCUGGAGGAGGCCGAGGUGUGCCUCCCUGGAGCACGAGGAGGGCAAGAUCCUCCGGGCCCAGCUGGAGUUCAACCAGAUCAAGGCAGAGAUCGAGCGGAAGCUGGCAGAGAAGGACGAGGAGAUGGAACAGGCCAAGCGCAACCACCUGCGGGUGGUGGACUCGCUGCAGACCUCCCUGGACGCAGAGACACGCAGCCGCAACGAGGCCCUGAGGGUGAAGAAGAAGAUGGAAGGAGACCUCAAUGAGAUGGAGAUCCAGCUCAGCCACGCCAACCGCAUGGCCGCCGAGGCCCAGAAGCAAGUCAAGAGCCUCCAGAGCUUGUUGAAGGACACCCAGAUUCAGCUGGACGAUGCAGUCCGUGCCAACGACGACCUGAAGGAGAACAUCGCCAUCGUGGAGCGGCGCAACAACCUGCUGCAGGCUGAGCUGGAGGAGUUGCGUGCCGUGGUGGAGCAGACAGAGCGGUCCCGGAAGCUGGCGGAGCAGGAGCUGAUUGAGACUAGUGAGCGGGUGCAGCUGCUGCAUUCCCAGAACACCAGCCUCAUCAACCAGAAGAAGAAGAUGGAUGCUGACCUGUCCCAGCUCCAGACUGAAGUGGAGGAGGCAGUGCAGGAGUGCAGGAAUGCUGAGGAGAAGGCCAAGAAGGCCAUCACGGAUGCCGCCAUGAUGGCAGAGGAGCUGAAGAAGGAGCAGGACACCAGCGCCCACCUGGAGCGCAUGAAGAAGAACAUGGAACAGACCAUUAAGGACCUGCAGCACCGGCUGGACGAAGCCGAGCAGAUCGCCCUCAAGGGCGGCAAGAAGCAGCUGCAGAAGCUGGAAGCGCGGGUGCGGGAGCUGGAGAAUGAGCUGGAGGCCGAGCAGAAGCGCAACGCAGAGUCGGUGAAGGGCAUGAGGAAGAGCGAGCGGCGCAUCAAGGAGCUCACCUACCAGACGGAGGAGGACAGGAAAAACCUGCUGCGGCUGCAGGACCUGGUAGACAAGCUGCAGCUAAAGGUCAAGGCCUACAAGCGCCAGGCCGAGGAGGCGCCAACACCAACCUGUCCAAGUUCCGCAAGGUGCAGCACGAGCUGGAUGAGGCAGAGGAGCGGGCGGACAUCGCCGAGUCCCAGGUCAACAAGCUGCGGGCCAAGAGCCGUGACAUUGGCACGAAGGGCUUGAAUGAGGAGUAGCUUUGCCACAUCUUGAUCUGCUCAGCCCUGGAGGUGCCAGCAAAGCCCCAUGCUGGAGCCUGUGUAACAGCUCCUUGGGAGGAAGCAGAAUAA